rnacentral:rRNA from 1 species
AUUGGAUCCAGACUUUGAUCCUGGCUCAGGAUGAACGCUAGCUACAGGCUUAACACAUGCAAGUCGAGGGGAAACGACAUUGAAAGCUUGCUUUCGAUGGGCGUCGACCGGCGCGCGGGUGAGUAACGCGUAUCCAACCUGCCCAUCACUUGGGGAUAACCUUGCGAAAGUAAGACUAAUACCCAAUGACGUCUCUAGAAGACAUCUGAAAGAGAUUAAAGAUUUAUCGGUGAUGGAUGGGGAUGCGUCUGAUUAGCUUGUUGGCGGGGUAACGGCCCACCAAGGCGACGAUCAGUAGGGGUUCUGAGAGGAAGGUCCCCCACAUUGGAACUGAGACACGGUCCAAACUCCUACGGGAGGCAGCAGUGAGGAAUAUUGGUCAAUGGACGAGAGUCUGAACCAGCCAAGUAGCGUGCAGGAUGACGGCCCUAUGGGUUGUAAACUGCUUUUAUAAGGGAAUAAAGUGAGUCUCGUGAGACUUUUUGCAUGUACCUUAUGAAUAAGGACCGGCUAAUUCCGUGCCAGCAGCCGCGGUAAUACGGAA